AUAACUGGCGGGAAAAAAGUUCCAGAGUUAAACCAGAGAAAAGAGAUAGGGCACCCAGGGGAAGAUUGAACUUGACAGCUUUCGAGUUGCCCUCUAACGUUCAGUUCUUAUAUAGUGUGCCGUGCGUGCCAAACGAAAACGAAAAGUCGGGGCUGACAGAUCUAUAACUUGCAAGUCUGAAUGGGAGAAGGGGGACUAGUACCCGUCCAUGAUUCGCUGCUUGUUGCCAGAAGUAGUCGUAAGAUGGCAAUCCCUAAACAGAUAUGGCCGAUUUCCUCUUCGCUUUCGCAUCUGUUUAUGUUUGAGCAGCUUUUGCUUGAUUGAGCAACAAAAGGAGGCCUGUGAAAUCCUCAACUAUUUGCUGCUCAGAGAAAUAGUUUUCUAAACAGAUUUUUUAAAAUAUAUAAAGUUUUUGUUCACCUUUAGUCAAUUGUGGUGUUAAGAUGACUCCAAGGAAAUUAAUUAAAAAAGAAAAAGGUUCAGAUGGAGAAGAAAGCUUGCCUGAUAAGAGUCAUUCCACUCGUUUACUUCGGAAACGCGAAUGGGAUUCUGCAAGCAUUAUAAGUCCAGAAAGAGGGCCAGCACAAAACAAAGAACUUAGAAGAGAUAACUUGCAUUUGAAGCGGUCACUCACAUCCUCUUAUACCGAAACAGCAAAGAAAAAUUUGACUAAUACAGAGAAACUUUCAUCUUCUCUGUUGAAGGAGUCAAAAACUGAGGUAAAAGUUGAGAAACCAGAGCUUGAAACAGGGGACACUAGUGGCAGGAGCACCAAUACUUCAAAUGGUUUUGAGGAAGAUCCUUUGAUUCUCUCCCGGAGACAAAAACAGAUUGACUAUGGGAAAAAUACCAUAGCCUAUGACAACUAUAUUAAAGCCAUACCCAAAAAUCAAAGAACCAAGGAGCACCCCCAAACUCCCAACAAGUACAAAAAGUAUAGUAGAAGAGGCUGGGAUGGAUCAAUAAGAGUGUGGAGGCAAAAGUUGCAUGUUUUUGAUAAUGAUGAUAGUAAAGAAAAGGAGUGUGCAGCUGUUGGUUCUGUAGAUGAUGCUGAAAUCGAAGGUGCCCUGGACUUCCUCCCUUUUGAUCUAAUCGAUUCCGACGUCGUUCUGUAGACCACUUUUUACUCAUAGAAGUGAAACAACAUUUUAGACCCAAACGAAGACAUGCGCUUCUGCAGCUUAAACGGAGCCUUCAAUUUUCGCGUAGUUCAUUUGAGCGAUCUUAACUGUUCAUAACAGCCAAAUAUGUAACUUGUAAUUAAUUAAACACGUUCAAAGCUGUA
rnacentral:misc_RNA from 1 species